rnacentral:rRNA from 1 species
AUACGGAGGACGCGAGCGUUAAUCGGAAUUACUGGGCGUAAAGCGUGCGCAGGCGGUUUUGUAAGACAGAGGUGAAAUCCCCGGGCUCAACCAGGGAACUGCCUUUGUUACUGCAAGGCUAGAGUACGGGAGAGGGGGAUAGAAUUCCGCGUGUAGCAGUGAAAUGCGUAGAUAUGCGGAGGAACACCGAUGGUGAAGGCAAGCCCCUGGGCCUGUACUGACGCACAUGCACGAAAGCGUGGGGAGCAAACAGGAUUAGAUACCCUGGCAGUCCACGCCCUAAACGAUGUCAACUGGUUGUUGGGUCUUCAUUGACUCAGUAACGAAGCUAACGCGUGAAGUUGACCGCCUGGGGAGUACGGCCGCAAGGUUUAAACUCAAAGGAAUUGACGGGG